rnacentral:tRNA from 13 species
UACCUUUGGCGGCGGUAUAGAACCGGGGACCUUUGGGUUCCGAGCUGAACUUCCUAACCACUAGGAAAAGGG